GCCAGUGUGGCAUAGUGGUUUGAGUGUUGGACUAUGAAUCUGGAGACCAGAGUACAAUUCCCAGCUCAGCCA